rnacentral:rRNA from 1 species
GACGAACGCUGGCGGCGUGCUUAACACAUGCAAGUCUACGAGAAUAAGGUAGCAAUAUCUUUAGUAAAGUGGCGCACGGGUGCGUAACACGUAAGCAAUCUACCUUUGGGUUUGGAAUAACUUCGAGAAAUCGAGGCUAAUACCGAAUAAUGCAGCGGCACCGCAUGGUGAUGUUGUUAAAGUUUAAGUAAUGCCUAUAGAUGAGCUUGCGUCUGAUUAGCUAGUUGGUAGGGUAAUGGCCUACCAAGGCUACGAUCAGUAGCUGGUCUGAGAGGAUGAUCAGCCACACUGGAACUGAGACACGGUCCAGACUCCUACGGGAGGCAGCAGUGAGGAAUAUUGGGCAAUGCCCGCAAGGGUGACCCAGCAACGCCGCGUGGAGGAUGAAGGCCGUAAGGUUGUAAACUCCUGUUAGAGGAGA